UGUGGGGUUCUUUGGGAGAAGAAGAAAAAAGAAAAACACAAGCAAGUAACUCCUAGCAUUACAUGAACUGAGCAAUGUGGACAACUGAUGAAAGGACACUCUGAGCAGAAUAAGGAGCUUCUACAGAGGUAUGAAGGGAGAUACAAAACAGGACCCUUUCACGCCUGAGAGAGACAUCUUUUAACAAGCUAAAGGGAAAAAAAAGAAAAGAAGAAGAAGAACCAGAAGAAACUAAAUUUUCUAUAAAGUACCCUGGGGACCUUACUGGUGAUACUCAAAGAUUCUGAGCUAUAACUGAUUAUAA